CAAGAUCGCCGGGCACCCCGAGUUCCAAGACAGCAAAGCCAACCCCGUUGAUAUUUUUGCCAUCGGCUUUGAGGAAAUGGUGGAGCUGAACGCCGGAAACAUCGUCAGCGCCAGCACCACCAACCAGAAGCUGUGGGCCGCCGAGCUGCAGAAGAACAUCUCGCGGAACCACAAGUACGUGCUGCUGGAGGCGGAGCAGC